GACGAACCGUGCGAACGUUGUUCGGAAUCACUGGGCUUAAAGGGCGCGUAGGCGGCCAUCUAAGUCAGACGUGAAAUCCCCCGGCUUAACCUGGGAACUGCGUCUGAUACUGGACGGCUUGAAUUUGGGAGAGGGAUGCAGAAUUCCAGGUGUAGCGGUGAAAUGCGUAGAUAUCUGGAGGAAUACCGGUGGCGAAGGCGGCAUCCUGGACCAACACUGACGCUGAGGCGCGAAAGCUAGGGGAGCAAACGGG
rnacentral:rRNA from 1 species